AGACUGCCGGUGUCAAACCGGAGGAAGGUGGGGAUGACGUCAAGUCCUCAUGGCCUUUAUGACCAGGGCUACACACGUACUACAAUGGCCGGUACAAAGGGCAGCGACACAGCGAUGUGAAGCGAAUCCCGAAAAGCCGGUCUCAGUCCGGAUUGGAGUCUGCAACUCGACUCCAUGAAGUUGGAAUCGCUAGUAAUCGCGGAUCAGCACGCCGCGGUGAAUACGUUCCCGGGCCUU
rnacentral:rRNA from 1 species